rnacentral:snoRNA from 1 species
AGACCAUGAUGAGGGCAUUUCCUCAAUAGCUCCUUGAAUCUUUCCCAAGUUUUAUAUAAGGAUUCCUCGUCCUCUUGUGAAUAUGUAUGAUUUCAGUUAUUAAUUU